GAUGAACGCUGGCGGCGUGCCUAACACAUGCAAGUCGAACGGACGAGAAGAGCUUGCUCUUCGAGUUAGUGGCGGACGGGUGAGUAAUGCGUGAGCAAUCUGCCUUUCAGAGGGGGAUAACAUUGGGAAACCGGUGCUAAUACCGCAUGAUGUGCGAGGGUCGCAUGACUCUUGUACCAAAGGAGCAAUCCGCUGAAAGAUGAGCUCGCGUCUGAUUAGCUAGUUGGUGAGGUAACGGCCCACCAAGGCGACGAUCAGUAGCCGGACUGAGAGGUUGAACGGCCACAUUGGAACUGAGAUACGGUCCAGACUCCUACGGGAGGCAGCAGUGGGGAAUAUUGGGCAAUGGGCGCAAGCCUGACCCAGCAACGCCGUGUGAAGGAAGAAGGUCUUCGGAUUGUAAACUUCUUUUAAGAGGGACGAUAAUGACGGUACCUCUUGAAUAAGCCACGGCUAACUACGUGCCAGCAGCCGCGGU
rnacentral:rRNA from 1 species